UACGUAGGGUGCGAGCGUUAAUCGGAAUUACUGGGCGUAAAGCGUGCGCAGGCGGUUCGUUAAGUUCGUUGUGAGAGCCCCGGGCUCAACCUGGGAACUGCAAUGGAAACUGGCGGGCUUGAGUGUGGCAGAGGGGGGUGGAAUUCCGCGUGUAGCAGUGAAAUGCGUAGAGAUGCGGAGGAACACCGAUGGCGAAGGCAGCCCCCUGGGCCAACACUGACGCUCAGGCACGAAAGCGUGGGGAGCAAACAGG
rnacentral:rRNA from 1 species